rnacentral:rRNA from 1 species
UCGAACGAGAAGCCCGGGCUUGCCCGGGUGGACAGUGGCGAACGGGUGAGUAACACGUGAGGAACCUGCCCCGAAGACCGGGACAACACCGGGAAACCGGUGCUAAUACCGGAUGCCUUCACCGGAUCGCAUGGUCUGGUGAAGAAAUGGAUUCCGCUUCGGGAUGGCCUCGCGGCCUAUCAGCUUGUUGGUGAGGUAACGGCUCACCAAGGCGACGACGGGUAGCUGGUCUGAGAGGAUGUCCAGCCACACUGGGACUGAGACACGGCCCAGACUCCUACGGGAGGCAGCAGUUAGGAAUCUUGCGCAAUGGGCGAAAGCCUGACGCAGCGACGCCGCGUGCGGGAUGAAGGCCUUCGGGUUGUAAACCGCUUUCAGCAGGGACGAAAUUGACGGUACCUGCAGAAGAAGCCCCGGCCAACUACGUGCCAGCAGCCGCGGUAAUACGUAGGGGGCAAGCGUUGUCCGGAUUUAUUGGGCGUAAAGAGCUCGUAGGUGGUUUGGUAAGUCGGAUGUGAAACCUCCAGGCUCAACCUGGAGGGGUCAUUCGAUACUGCCAUGACUAGAGGUCGGUAGGGGAGUGUGGAAUUCCUGGUGGAGCGGUGAAAUGCGCAGAUAUCAGGAGGAACACCCGUAGCGAAGGCGGCACUCUGGGCCGAUUCUGACACUGAGGAGCGAAAGCGUGGGGAGCGAACAGGAUUAGAUACCAUGGUAGUCCACGCCGUAAACGUUGGGCACUAGGUGUG